GCGACUAAGCGUACACGGUGGAUGCCCUGGCAGUCAGAGGCGAUGAAGGACGUGCUAAUCUGCGAAAAGCGUCGGUAAGGUGAUAUGAACCGUUAUAACCGGCGAUGUCCGAAUGGGGAAACCCAGUGUGAUUCGUCACACUAUCGUUAACUGAAUACAUAGGUUAACGAGGCGAACCGGGGGAACUGAAACAUCUAAGUACCCCGAGGAAAAGAAAUCAACCGAGAUUCCCCCAGUAGCGGCGAGCGAACGGGGAGCAGCCCAGA
rnacentral:rRNA from 1 species